rnacentral:other from 6 species
UUGUCCCUGCGAUGUUGGUGUGGUAUUAUCUGAUUUGAACCGACAAGUUCCUUUCAGGGAGUUGCAGGUGAGCUAUACGCCUUAGGGCUAUAGACCCGGACACCCACUUAAUGAAAAGGGCUCAAUCAGAUGAAACUCACGGCAGAGUGGGGAUUUU